AGAUGAACAUCUAGACUCAGAACCUAGGUCUGGAUAUGUCAAAGGAGCAGGCAUUGACAAGUACUCUACUAAACAAAAACUGAGUAGGAAGCACUGUCAUUGCAAAGAGAAGGACCCAAUGGCCAACUGGAUACUUGAAUCAGAAGGCAGCUGUGGUCCAAAGCAAGGCGGCAAGUGGGUUCAGUGCCAGUACCAACUGAGAUCAACAGCGCAUGGCUGCCAGGAGCACAGUCCUGUGAAAAGGAUUCUGAGGCUGGUGCAGGAAGACAGUGAUUGAUUGGCAGUGUGGACCUGGAUGCACAAAUGGAAUGACACAGGAUAAUUAUAUGGGAGGAUAUUAUAUUAAAGACUUCCCAUCUGGUUUUAAAAAGAAAUUAAAUUGUAAGAAACUAUGGUUAGCAGGUAAGUAUCUAUUCCCCAUGGAACCAUAGGAGCAUUCAGAGUAAGAUCUCAACAGAAAGCCCAGGCUUUGUGAUAUUAUUUGCUAACUUGUCUACAUAAUGUUAAUACUUAUGAGGAAGGAUAAAUUUAAUUAUCAUCUGGUUUAUAAAGCAUAUCAUGGUUAAUAAAACUACUUUAGUGUAAUCCUGUAUCUGGAUCAAGGUCAUCAACAAUUAGCUAAUUACCAGCUUGUCAAUAUACUGACACUUAAUCUAAUGGGUUUAUUUAUUUAACUGCUGUCUACUGUCUCUGUUAUAGGCUUUUAGCUCUGACUUUUUUUCCCCAGGGGCACUUAACCACUGAACCACAUCCGCAGCCCUUUUUAUUUUUUAUUUUUAAACAGGGUCUCACUAAGUUGCUGAGGCUGGCUUAGAACUAGCAAUCCUCCUGCCUCAGCCUCCCAAGUUGUUGGGAUUACAGGUGUGCACCAUCACAGGCAGCUCUGAUGUUGCACCAUCACAGGCACCAGGUGUGCACCAUCACAGGCAGCACUGAUCACUCUGAUUACGCCCCCAUGGGAGACGUCUAAAGCAGGAGUUUUUAAUAUUUUAUAUAAUAGCCACUGAUAGAAACUGAAAGUGUGAUAGUGUUUGCUUUUCUGUCUUUGUUCCCAAGGCUUGUUGUGGAUUGGUUUUAAUAUUCUUUUAAAGUGCCUAGUUUUGAGAAAUUAAAUAAGCAAAUUCUUAGGCUGAGAAUAUGUGAAAAAGAAGCACCAUCUACCAAUAUCCUGACCUUUAAAAAUAUUUAGACAGGGGAGGACACAAACAAACCAUUCUCAGAUCAUCUUUCUCUUGCAAGGCAAUAGACUAUACAAAACUGUGUUUAACUUUUCUAUUUUUAUGGAACUAUUUGUCAUAUAUAAGUUUUAAAUUUUAUAAUAUUUUAAAUGAUGCAUAGUUAUUAUAUCCUUUUUUUUCUGUGCAGUGCUAAGAGUCAAACCCAGGGCCUAGAUCAUGCUAAGCCAGCACACUGCCAUUGAACUACAUCCCCAGCCCUAUUAUUUCCUAUUUCAUGUAACUAUUCAGUAUGUGGUUUUAAAAAUCACUGUAAUACAUUAUGC
rnacentral:lncRNA from 1 species